rnacentral:rRNA from 1 species
CCUACGGGUGGCAGCAGUGAGGAAUCUUGCUCAAUGGGCGCAAGCCUGAACCAGCCAAGUAGCGUGGAGGAUGACUGCCCUACGAGUUGUAAACUUCUUUUAUAAAGGAAUAAAGUGAGGCACGUGAGCCUUUUUGUAUGUACUUUAUGAAUAAGGACAGGCUCACUCCGUGCCAGCAGCCGCGGUAAUACGGAGGAUCCGAGCGUUAUCCGGAUUGAUUGGGUUUAAAGUGAACGUAGAUGGGUUGUUAAGUCAGUUGUGAAAGUAUGCGGCUCAACCGUAGAAGUGCAAUUGAUACUGGCAGUCUUGAGUGCAGUUGAGGUAGGCGGAACUCGAGGUGUAGCGGUGAAAUGCGUAGAUAUCACGAAGAACUCCGAUUGCGAAGGCAGCUUACUAGACUGCCACUGACGCUGAUGUUCGAAAGUGUGGGUAUCAAACAGGAUUAGAUACCCGUGUAGUC